CCUGUCAGAACGAACGCUGGCGGCGUGCUUAACACAUGCAAGUCGAACGCGAAAGAGUUCUUCGGAACUUNAGUAGAGUGGCGCACGGGUGAGUAACGCGUAGAUAACCUGUCUUGAUGUCUGGAAUAACCAGCCGAAAGGCUGACUAAUACCGGAUGGUCUUUCAUUUUAUAAGAAUUGGAAGUAAAGGUGGCCUCUGUUUCAAGCUAUCGCAUUAAGAGGGGUCUGCGUACCAUUAGCUUGUAGGUGGGGUAAUAGCCUACCUAGGCAACGAUGGUUAGCGGGUCUGAGAGGAUGAUCCGCCACACUGGCACUGGAACACGGGCCAGACUCCUACGGGAGGCAGCAGUGAGGAAUAUUGCGCAAUGGGGGCAACCCUGACGCAGCGACGCCGCGUG
rnacentral:rRNA from 1 species